CUCCACCAUGAUUGUGUACUUGUAACUUUCAAACUAUGCUUUCUCCCAAUUUUAUUGUUUCUCUCUUUACAUCAAGAGAAAAGGCACCUUGUUUUUUGAGAGGAAAAAAAAAAUAAGCAACAUUUUAUGGACACAGCUCAUGACAAGGAAAAUUUGUUCAAAACUAAGCAUGUCUCAUUGAUAUAUUAUAAAUUGGUCUGCAAGAACAACAUUUUUCCAAAAAUUAUGUGCUCCCAUACACACUGAAAAAUAUUAAGCCUUUUUUCCCUUCCACUCAUUACAUGGGUCUAUAGAAUAUUCCACUUAUGGAAUCAAAAUUGAUCAGACAAAAACAGUUUCAGUGGUCUGCUUUUAACAGAAAACAAAGAAAAUCUAUUCCAUUUGGGGUUGGGUGGCUAUUGAUUUUGGCUUCUAUUUGAAGGAAAUAAGUCACAUGAAAAAUUCCUGUUUCCGGAAAGUUCUUGCUAGUCAAAUAUUUCAAGUAUAAAGGUGGAAUUUUGUAGAAGAGCUGAUGAAGCUUUACAACCACUAAAUUCCCUUAAUCAGAUGCAUCAAACCACGGCCAUCAGCUUACAGACUCGUGGAAGGAAUCCCAUCGUUUUGCACAGGUUGUUUCCUUGCUCGGCCACUUGCUGAUGGGAAAUGUUCUUUGGAUUGCAGGUAUGUCUAAUGGGGGAUGAACUCAAGCAACCAUGUGGGAGGUUGAUGGGAAAUCUUUUAUGUAUUGUCAACAUUGAUGCUGGGUUUUGAACCAAAUGAUAGAUGAGAAAUGGGAAUAUAUUCCUCUGCUAAAAUUACAUUGCAUAUAUCAAUGUUUGUCACAUAAUCCUCUUGAUAUUGAUGUUUGAACUUUGCAUUUCUCAAAAGAAGAAACUGGAGAGGGUUGAUGGGAUAAUUGUUGAUGGAUUAGCAUAGAAUUCAAUGUGGUUUUGUAUAGGCAUAAGAGAAGUUCCAGAAUAAAAUGAUCUAGUCAGUCACUGAUAAAACCAGAUAUGUCUCAAACCUUAUCUCAUAUUAUUUUAUUUCAGUGUCAAAUUCUGGCUUUGAUGUUCUACUUUUC